AGAGAAAGAGAGAGAGAGAGAGAGAGAGAGAGAGAGAGAGGGAGCCGGAGAGAAAGAGAGGGGGGGAGAGAGAGAGAGCCGGAGAGAGAGAGAGGGAGCUGGAGAGAGAGAGAAAGGAGGGUCCCACCGAAGCCCCGCCAAACGCGGGGAGGCUUCGGCCGAACUCACGAUUCAAUAUAUGUAUAGAUAGAUACUUAACAUGAAUGCGUUUUAUAAAAAUAAAUAAGUGUUAGAAUAAAUAUUAUUGUUUUGUGUUGUAAUAAUGCUCGUGUUCAACGGACGAAUGCAGACGGUUGGAUUUUAAGUGACAU
rnacentral:lncRNA from 1 species